UACGGGGGGAGCAAGCGUUGUUCGGAUUUACUGGGCGUAAAGCGUGCGCAGGCGGUGAUGUAAGACAGGUGUGAAAUCCCCGGGCUUAACCUGGGAACUGCAUUUGUGACUGCAUCGCUGGAGUGCGGCAGAGGGGGAUGGAAUUCCGCGUGUAGCAGUGAAAUGCGUAGAGAUGCGGAGGAACACCGAUGGCGAAGGCAGCCCCCUGGGCUAACACUGACGCUCAGGCACGAAAGCGUGGGGAGCAAACAGG
rnacentral:rRNA from 1 species